ACUAUUUUGGCAGAUAAGUGCGGUGGAUUUAGAAUCUAUUUAUGUGUUUUUGUUUGGGCGCAUGUAGUA
rnacentral:tRNA from 1 species